rnacentral:misc_RNA from 1 species
CCUAGUAGUGCCCCCCCAUGCAAGCCAAUGACCGGUUCAGAACGACUUCCAACGGAUCUCAUCAGGAUAUUUGAUGUACCAUCAUCAAGCAAGAUACGAACUUGCACACUGGCUGCAGACGCAGCACUAGCAGCAGCAGCAGCUGCUGCUUGUGCUGCAGCUACAGCUGCUUCUUUUGCUUUCCUUGACAAAACCCCCUUGGGAAUUAUAGGAAUUCUGGGAGCCAAUGCAGAUUCCAGUAUAGCAAAUCUAUCACGACAUGUAUCCCAAGCCAGAUGCCUUGCACUGCCUGAAUCUACGAUGGUCCAAUCACUAACCUUGUAUAUAGAGAAGUAAGGAACAUCAGGCCACACAAUUGCGAGAUAUUUUCCUGAACUGCUUACAGAAAGAACAGAAUAUGAAUCAUGUGGAACAGGUGUACUAAUGUGCUUCUUAAUCUGCUUGACAUGCAAUGUUUCAGCUGAGUCUCCCUUGUACUUUCCUGUUUCAGAUAAGGAACCAUUGCUACCAAGAGAGAGAUUUGCUGUGUUGGACAAUUGAAAGUUUAGUAGAUUCAAUUCCCUUUCAACUACAUAGACAGCUGAAUGCUCCCUAUUUCCUGAUGGCGUUGGCAGAGGAGCUACAGCUGGGAGAGACAUGGCAUCAAACUCACUAAUAAUAACACCAAUAUUGGUUCCAGUAGCAA